rnacentral:rRNA from 1 species
GUGUCAGCAGCCGCGGUAAGACGAACCGUGCGAACGUUGUUCGGAAUCACUGGGCUUAAAGGGCGCGUAGGCGGGCUGCCAAGUUCGGGGUGAAAUCCUCCCGCUCAACGGGAGAACGGCCCCGAAUACUGGCGGUCUCGAGGGAGGUAGGGGCGUGCGGAACUAUGGGUGGAGCGGUGAAAUGCGUUGAUAUCCAUAGGAACUCCGGUGGCGAAGGCGGCACGCUGGACCUCUUCUGACGCUGAGGCGCGAAAGCCAGGGGAGCAAACGGGAUUAGAUACCCCCGUAGUCC